GCUGUCAAAGGGCUCCCCUCAGGGUCCCUCGCGGUUGUCAAAGGGCUUACAAAGGGCUCCCCUUUGCUCCCCUCAGGGUCCCAAAGGGCUCCCUCGAGACUUCCAAAGGGCUCCCCUCAGCGUUUCCACAGGGUCCCAAAGGGCUCCCCAAAGGGCUUCCACAGGGCUUCCCUCAGUCCCAAAGGGUUCCCCAAACGGCUUCCCACAGAGUCCUUUGCAGCUCCCCAAAAGGUUUCCAAAGAAUUUCCGAAGGGUCUGCAAGGGCUCCCAGAGGGCUUCUGCAGGGCUCUGACAUUGCUCCCUCGGGGCUCUCCACAGGAUCUCUUGGGGCUCCCACAGGGCUCCUUUUGGGGAGCAGAGCAGCCACCAUGGCUUCUCCUAAAGUGUGGCAGCGGGAUGGGUCUGGGGAGGAAGGGCCCUCUCUGCUGCCUUCGCAUCCCACUCAAAUGCACCCAGAAGUCAGUCACGGGAGGACCGUUGUAGGCUCUCCAUGGGAAUACCACCACCCUCCCCAGGCACGGUGUUGGACUGUCCAGACAGUUCUCCCCUAAGUUGUCAUGUUACACCCUCUACCUCCAGAACAAGGGCCUUUCUCUGCUCUUCCUGGUGCCCUGACAUCCUCACCCCAACCUGCUACACCCCAUCCUUCACACAGAGCCUCUGGAGAGGUUCCCAGGACUGAUAGUAAGAGAAGAACAUUACAUCAAAUGUCUGACGUGCAACGUCUGACAGCAUCCUGUGUGUGUACAGGAGUCUGGGACCAGUUUGACCACCCCAAUCUGACUAUUCCAUUUGAAGGACUUCAGCCCGCCAGGGCAGAACCAGGGCCUUCCACAGAAAUGUCUUACACUGAUAACCAACAUAUUUGUGUCCCACCCAGCCAAUCUCCAGUGUGGUGUUCAUAGUAGCAUACUUGGAACGUCGAGAAAGAUGCUGUCUUUCGAGAAGUCCUACAGGAUAUGGAACAUGUCUGAAGUGACAGAUCUAGGCUCUGCGCCUGAACAAGUUCAUCAUGUAUUGCUUAACUUCAUUCUGAAUAAAAUAUGUAAACCCUCAGCUGAAGUGGAAAAUACUCUUGCAAUAAGAAGACAAAAUAUCUGGAUGAGGAGAAGGAUGAAUAAGAAGUUCCGGGACAAGCAGCGACUAAAGAGUCAUUCCAGUGGGCCGUCUCAUGUGAAAUGACCUUGUUUCUUAUCUCUCAUGAGGAAGAUUUUAUACAGGACUUUGCUGGGAAAACUAUUGCUCCUUUGAGUCAAUGUUGGUGCAGUAUGAGAUAUAUCUAAGGCAGAAAUUCCAUAUACAGGGUUCGGGGAUGUGUAAGACCUUUAAAAGGUUGUCCGAAGCUAAUGAAUGGUGAGUCAGUGACAUAUGAAAGAGCUGAAAUAAUAAACUUUAACUGAUAUAUGUAGCGUGUGCAAUGCUUCCACCAGUAGUGUCACAAGGAGAGUAGUGAAAUGUUUCAUUGUCAAAGAGUUUUGUGGACACUGACUGGUCUCUUGUUAGGCAAACUCAAUCCUGUCAUAAACGGGAACUCCACCAACCAAGGAAAGAUGUGUCUUUUGUCACUGGUGCUUAUACCAGGUCCACAGAGGUGGAAAUACUCACAUCUCCAGACUGCUGAGUGGGAGAUGCCCUAAAAGCAACAAUAGAGCCCUGAUAAGAACAAAUGCAAGACAUUUCACAUUCAUUCCCGUGCUCCUAGAGGGCCAUGCCACCACUCAGAUAGAAGCACUGAAAAAAUGGGAUUUACCUGAGUUUGCAGCAGUUGAUAAAUGUGUCAGAAACAAGAGGAAAAGCAUCUGCUGAUGAAAGGUCACAUUACUACUGAGUCACCCUGUUGUUUUCUCCUGUUGCAGAGAUCUCUGCAGUAUGUGUCCUUAACCUGCUGAAGGGAUGGUGAUGGCUGUGAACUCCUUGGAGCUGUGCUGCUCUGCAGAGCUGUAUCUCACAUAAGUUCCUAAACUGAGUAGACAGGGUGUCCUCUUCCAUCCAGAAAAAAGAUUGCCUUCCCUCUGUUGGAUCAGACACAUACACUCCUAAAUCUGAUGCCAUUAAUGAGACCUGACCACGGUUCCCUGUGCUGGUCUGUCUCUCUGUGCCAAGGGCAAUUACAGGACGUGUUCUUGCAUCUGAGAGUGACUCUACAAGCUGAUCAGUUGACAAUUCAAUGAUUUUUUUGCAUCUAGACCUCAGCCUGUGCUUCCAGUUGACCAGCAGUCCCUUUGCUGUGUAGAGCAGUUAACCUGGCACAGAGCCAAAGCUUAUCCUGCUUAUUUUCCAUAUACCCCGAAGCCCAAGCACACACAAACAUAAAUACGUGUGUGAAACAAUAUACUCUGAAAGGCUACUGAGGCUGUGCACUCCAGCAUUCAACAGCCUGCAGUGUCCAGAGUUUGCCUGGUUUUCCUCAUCCAGAUGAACUGUAAUUGAGUUAUCCACACCCUUUUCCUACAGGCAUCCCCUCACUCCACAUUGGCAAUGGUUGCUGCUCCUGAGGGAGCAGCUCCCCCCAUGAUUUAUUCUCCUCUUGUUUAACGUGCAGCAAUGGGGCUUUUUACUGCCUGUUAUUCAAAUUGGGCUUUGGGCACAAAAUUAUUCAUUUCCGUGUGGUUUUUCCACAGUGCUCAUGACAGCAGUGUCUGAGUGUUUCACAUGCACCAUUUCCUUUUCCAGCAAUUCUGAGAGGAUGCUGACCCUGUAUUAUCAGUGAGGAAAGAAGACAGGCAGCGAUGAAUUAAAGAAAGGGUCUUCAUAAUUCUGGAUUCUCCAUGUGAGUCACCUACAGCCCGAGAACUGUGAUGACAGACACACAGAACUCAGCUCAGCUCCAGCAGUGAUUGUACAACAAACUGGAUCUAAAGAUCUCCCACCUAAACACCCAGGCAAGGCAGAGCACGCAGGUGAGUGGGCAUUGCUCUCCAGCGACUUUAAUCUGAGAAUUUUCUUAAUUUUUGUAAACCUAAUAUUCCUGUAACUUUUUUUUCUGUGGGCAGUUUUCUUGGGUUUUAGUUCAUUUUUCUCAGCAAACUUAAAAUUCAUAAAUUUCAUCACUGUUGAGCAAAUUUUCCACGACAUGGGUUGGCGGCAGAAUGGAUCGGUUUCAAUUGUGACAUGACUGGCAUUUUAUGGACUCCCUGGUAGCAGUAGUGACUGUUUAAUUGAUAUGUAAAGGCAGUGAGAUGUGCUUUGCCAGAGCAUUUUGAUUUGCUUUGUUUUCCCAAAUAUUUUCUGGCUGCGAAAUAGUGAUAACUGAAGUGCUGCCUUCAGUUGUGAAAGACAUCACACCAAAUUCUAUACCAAGACAAGUCUAUGCAGUUUAUCAAAGUAUACACGUGCAAUUCAAAAGGAUUUGAAUUCAGAGAGGUGCCAUAAAAAAUCAAAAUCAAAAUCAAAAUUAAAAUAAUCAGACUGUUCAGAUGAUACUUUGCAAUUUGUAUGCAUUACAUGAGUUUUUUUGAGUCAACCCAACCUUACUUGGGCUAUUCUGAUGCCUACAAUCCCUCCCCAUUGGUAGUAGUGGAGGAGGGUUGUAGGCAUUGGAUAUGUAUUGGAAUUUGAAGCAGCCUUACCCUGUGAACUCAGCACUCUCCAGGAAUUUGUAUCACCCUUCUUGUGCCCUGUGGGUUAAAGCUUCCAUUUUAACACAUCUGAGGCUAAAGAAGACUUUCUUUCCCUGUUCCUCUCCACCUCCACAAAUCCUGUCAAUAAAGGUGAGGAGAAGUGAUGUGAGACUCUGUGAGAUGCGAUUUGUGCAAACAUUUGUAGUCCUAAACAUGACCUCAUGAUGCAAACCAGGACUUUGGCGGCUCAAGAGAAAACACAGCCUUUUUACGUAUUGCACUGUAAUUACUUCAUGAAGCAAAAUCCUCAGUCAAAUUAAUUUUCUUCAUGCAUAUCAUAGGUACUAAACUGUGGCUGUGCACAAGGACUGGCUUUUCCUUUAGCUUGCCUGGCUCCAAAAGUAAAUUGGAAAAGUAAGUGGCAGGGAAAUAACAAACAGCUGAACGAUUUGAAGCCUUUUCUAUUAAAACAACGUCUAUUUCCUCUCACCUUCACUUCUCCCUGCCAGGCCAAGCAUUGGAAGAUGAGGAGAGUGGGAGCAGGAACAGAAGCAAGUGCAUGAUAACCUACUAAGAUAGUGUCUGUGCUGUGAAGUUCAAGGGCCCGUUUCCUUACAAACCACUCAGUGUGUCUGGCACCACGGAACUGAUGGGAACCACUCCCUGCAUUGAUCCAGCCAUGCAGACCUGAGGAUUAUUUGCCUACAAACAGCUAUUGUUUGCAGGAUUGGAUAACUAAAAAAAAAACAAAUAUGUUUGUUUUCUCCACAGAUCAUGUUGCUUCCCACUUUCUCCUGAUAAGACAGAUCUGGGGCCAGUGCCCAGGUUUCCAAAGCCGCGGUUGUCCAGACAGGAAUAGAGGAGCCUAAAAUGUGCUUUCUUCUCCUGCUUCUUCCUCAGUGUCUCUUUGCUCUCACUCAUCCUCGCAUCUGUUCUGGGCCCAGUGCCCAACAGUUCUGCAUUAACGCCUCAGUACACACAGGCUCGCACAGCUGAACAGUUUGCAAUGCAACGUACCCGGUGCCGUCAUGUCUUCCCGAAUCAAGCUCCUGCAAACAAUUUUUGUUUACGGGAAGAAUCACUUGCCCUCAUAAUGCUACUUGUGAGCUGUGCCCAGCUGACUCGAGCCAUUCCAGGUCUUCCCAGAGAAAUGGUUUUGCAGAGCACAGUCACGAAUCUAGGAAACACAGAACAGAGCAGGUAAACAAACAUCUUUAAAGAUGAUCCUGUCUCAGACCUUGAUCCUACAAACCCACACGGGCUUAAUGUUAAGCAUAUGAGCAGUCCCAGAUGACUUCAGCAGAGCUACUCGCAUUCUCACAGAGCAGAGUUUGCCAGAUCAGUCUUUAUGUCUAAUUGCAAAAUAAAAGGCAACUCUCCCAGUUCUAUCAACUGUAAUGAAUUGCUAUUAACAGCACAAUUUAAAAUAGCCGUGGGGCAGAUCCCUGGCAGACCCACUGGGGAUAAAGGGAUGUGGACUUGUUGCAACAGAACCUGGAAAUACUUUUUCUUGGACAAAGCCCUGUGCCAGUCAUAUGAAACACUAACACUGAUGAGGUUGUUUUUGUAGGCUUCGACCUGUGCAAAGCUUUUUUUUGUGGUUAUUCUCUGCACAGUUCCUCCCUUUUCUACCUUCUGGGUUGAAUUCUGCUGUUUGAACCAGAAGCUGGAAGCUCUGCUUGGGGGUACUUUCUAUAAGGAUUUGAUGAUGUUCCAACGUCCAAAGGUACCUUUACAAGUCAAAGUGGGAAAAAAAACAGACCACGGCCCCUGUCCACCAGGCUUUUGGCACCAGGUCAGCAUCCACGACCCUGGGCUGCGCGCGGGGUCCCAUCCGUGUCCCCUCGGGUGAGCACAAUAGGCGACAUUGUGUCCCGUCGCUUCCACUAACGGCGAGGCGGGGGGACAGGCGAAUCUGGGGGCACAGAGAGCAAAACCCACCCAUGCCUGUUAAUGAAGGGCCAGCCCCGGGCCCUCAUUAGGAGCCCGCCGGGCCGUGCCCCGGCCCCGCCGCCCGCCAGUGCCGGGGCCGAGCGCGGAGCGGCCGCCGCGCUCAGCGGGCGCGGAAGGUGGCGCGGCCCCUCCGGGCUGGCGUUUGCACCUGGGGCUGCCGCGGUUUAAUGGACUUUAACACAUGCAAACAAGAGCUUUUGUGUGCGGGCACAAAGGCUGCCCCGGCGCGGGGCUCUCCCCAACACUGCCGCAUUGUUUCCCCUCCGCUGCUUCUUGUCACCCUCCUUGUCAGAGUUUAAUGAGGACAACGAGGUUUCGCAGGCUCAUUUCGCACUUCAGCAACUUUCUAACACUUCCCUAACGAGGGAGAAGGGGCCGGAGCGAUCGGGGGCGCAGGGGAGGAGCCGCCCCGGCAGAGACCCGCAGCCCCGGGGUCGGGGCAGGUGCGCCCGGGGUCGAGCCGGGAUGCGGGACCGAGCCGGGAUGCGGGGGCUCAGCCCCUUCCAGCCCACCUCCGGCAUCUAGACGUGGCUCCAUUUAAAAAAAAACGAUUCGCCGAGUUUAAGCUCGGCCGGGGGUGUCCCCGGGGUGCUCGGAGGAGCAGCGAUGCUGCCGGGGAGGCGGUGGCCGCUGGCACCGCGGUGGCAGCGGCAGGGACCGGCCCCGUGGCUCGGAGCGAGGCGCUUCCCCGGAGCAGGAAGUUUUCCCGGGAUCAGGUAGCAUUCCCCGGGCUCUCCGGGCCGGUGAUCUGCAGUUUUCUCACCUCCCGCCGUCCCCGCCGAAGCCGAGCAUCCCUCCCAGAGGCCAGGAGGGAGCGGGGUGGAUGCUCGGCUCCUCUGCCCCCAUCCCGGGGCAGUUUCUCCCCAGCCCGAGAGUGCGUUCUCCCGGCACCGCUCGGCGCGUUGCGCUGCUCCGGGGCAGGACGGGGGUUCGCGGGGACCGACGGGCGGGAGAUGCCGAGCGGGGUCGGCAAAGCCGCCCGAAGUCCGCAUUUGCACCGUUCAAAGCCCUCGAGGUGCUGUAACCGCUCUGGGCUUUGGGGAGGUGUCCCCCCACCCACCCAACGCAGCCAUCCCCCCUGGGAAGGCUUUAUUUCCCCCUCUCCAGCCAGCCAGCGGUCCCAGGCAGACCGUAGCUGCGGUUUUCGAUGGAGAUUUCGGGGAGGAUUUGCCUUUAGCCUUUGAAAAUCCUCCUCUCUGCCUCCUGUUCCCACGACCGAAAUCUCCCCUCCACUUUUUUCCUUACUUCCCUCUCCUGUGCGUGUGAGAACUUUGGAAAGCUCGAGAAGUCGUUUAAUGCAAAGGGAUUUUAAAACACAGAAGUAUGCGGUGAACGAAAAAAAAACAACAACACCCCAACCGCUUAAUUAGAUACUUACCGAAGGAGCCAUUAGAGCCUGCUGGGUAUAACACGGUUUAUAAGUUCUCUGGCCACAAAGAAAUUCAGUAAUUACUAUUUUUUCCUCCCUUACAAUGGGAUGGGUUAAGGACGGAGUGUGAUAAAACUUAACUCUGUUCCCGGGGUUUUUGCAGAUUAGUCUUUGGCAUUCGCUGGUAAAUACCAAGUGAAUAGAGACUGUGUGACCACAGUCCCUUGAAUUAGGGACAAACAUUUCCUCUGUGCAUUUUAAAUAAUGCUACUGCCAAAUAUUUUGUUACCAGAGAUCAUUAUCCUUUUGAAUGAAAACUCGAGGAGUAAAGGCAUUGGUUUUGUCUUUGCUGGUGUGGAACAGACUAUAUGAUAUCUAGAACAGCAACAAGCUUUCACAAAUUGCUAUAUGAUUUCUACUGCCAGGUUCUGUGAUAUUGGAUACGACAUAAAAAUAAAAAAGCCGGGCAGAUAGACACAGAAACUCACAGAAACCACCUGUAUAUUUUGUUUCAAAGGGAAAUCUCAGCUAUUGUCUUACUGGCUCUGGUUCUGUUAGGCCUUGGAUCUGCUUAAUCUUUAAAGCUAUUCAAACAAAUUGAAUGAUACAAGGCAAGUCUUCUAUAAUUAAUCCGGAUUCUUGAAUUUUGAUACAAACUUUUAUGUAACCGAGAAGUUUCUCCCUUUUCCUUGCAAAGACACUAAAUAGACACUAAGUCCUUCUGUCAAGAGCGCUACCACAAACAAAGUUAAAAGGAACAAACCUGGAAAUUUUCCCUUUGCGAGGAAGAAAGAGAUGCAAACAUAAAGUCAUGGGAGAGCUAGUAGUGGUGCCUGGACAGAGACCAAGGUUUAAAGUGGCCCCUACGCUACAAACCGCAGGAACAGGGACACAGAAAUGGUGGUUUGUCCCAGGCAAAGCUUCUGCAGGAUGUUAAUUUGCCUGUUUAUCUGAACCUCACAAGGACUCAACGCUGGCACUCAAAGGUCUCAUUUGAACCUUCUGAGAUGUUUGUUCUUUCACUGCUCCAGUCCAAAGAAAAUGAAAACGAUGCCACAGGGUAUGGAAGAACUUGUGACGUCCACGCUGAACUGCCACUGCGGAUGAUGAAGGUUCAGCUGUGGUCUGCUCCUUCUCACGUUAUGCAAUUUUCUCUUGGUAUUUGGCAGAACUGCCCCAGAACAGAUACUUUGCAGAGCUGUGCAUCCUGCAAUGAGGCAUUGCUGAAAUCCCCCAAUGUAUGACUCCCUUGUAGGAGUCAAAAUUUUAUCCAGGUUAUGAGGAAAGGAAGAAUUAUGUUGUGGGUUUGGGGGUUUUUGGGGGAGGGGUUGUUGUUUGUUUGUUUUUUUUUAUUUGGGCUGCCUCACCUGUGACUUCAGUGGAAAAUCAAUACACUGAGAAAGGUCUGUAGAUCUGGACCUGCUAAAUAACUCACAGGUUGCAGAUACAGUUCCCCCUGAGGCCACUGGUAAAACACUCACAGACCCAGGAUGGACUCAGCUUCCAGUUUACCCCACGGAACAUCCACUGACAGCCUCUGCUUUCUGACUCUCAAGUUUUCCUCACCCUGUGCAGAUUUUUCUUUUUGUCACGUAAAUGCAGCAAAAGAAUUAAAAACUUUUGAUUUUGAAGUUGA